AUCAAGACAAGGAGCUACUGCCGAGCCAGGAACUGCCAGCCCGCCGGCGAGCACCGGGGAUGAGGGGUGACCACUGCAGAGCGCCCCUCGCUCCCGUCCCGUCGAUUCGGAUAUCUCCCCUAGGGGGUUCAAUGUCUGAGGGUUUCUUCGGUGAUUUUCUCCGAAAGGCUCAUGGAAAACCUGCUCCCACCGGGACACCCUCCCACCGCCCUCCCGCCACGGUUUGCACGGCAGAAAUUGCAUCAUUCCCAGCCUCUCAUUCAUUUUGCGAAUGACGGCAAAAUAUCAUUUGCCAUCCAUUUGGGGUAGAGGACAGUGCAUCGGCUGCGGUUUCUGCGCGGUGAUGCGAGAUUCGUGUCUGUAACAGAGAGGAGUAUUUGCCAACGCGCUUCAGGGUGUUAAUAAACCAUAUAUCCUAAUAAAUAAAUAGUGUAGCGAGCAGUUCUACUAAUGAUAUCGAAAUAAAAUUCAUCAGUAAGAAUUACAUUAUAUUUGAAAAGAGAUUGUACUAAAAAGAAAAAAAAAGUAUUGCAAGCAUCCUACAUAAUCCUAUAUUAUGUUCAGAAAUAAAGUCUUUCUCAUCGAUUUUGGUGUUAUAUAAACCGACUAGUAUAAUAAACAUAAACAGCUACGUCAUACUAAAUUGAGAAUUACUAUUAUUUAAAUUACCAAAAUAAAAUCCAUCGAACAAUGUUGGUCGUUCUAAGAGGCACGGAAACGUUUUCCUUUUAACUUACUUAUUUUCAAACAGAAACUAAUCCAUAUUGGAACUGACAUCCUUCCAAACCAGAAGGGUUGGUGCCAGAACAACCUCCUGCCCAUUCUUGCUGUAACAGGCCACUACCUUAGGCAGGGAUGCAUGAAAAUUGUUUUCGACUUCAAAAAUCAGCUAACCUCUUCUGGGACAAGUCGGCGCUAGUGAUGUUAGGCAUCAGUUGCUGUCGAGCUCUAAGAGUUCA